GAAAGGAAAUCGGCACAAAGGACUGAUGAGAAAAAAAAAAAAAAAAAGACUGUUUAGGCAUAGAAAAUAAAAACAGGCAUCUGAUCUGUCUGUAAAGAGACUAAAGUAACUCUAAGCGCUCAAUGUAGUCUUUCACCUUAGGUUUGGCGUUGGCUGUCUAGCAGCUCCAGGUAAGCUUUCCCCCAGGUUCUACCUUCCUUCCCUAGGAACCAACCCAUCACCAUGAAGGAAAUGAGUUGCUUUGCGGAUCAGGCUAAAGAAUGUGAAGACUUAAGGCGAACUUUUGGUAUCAGCCUCCUCAGGUUUCUGACAUGCCCAGCAAAGUGAGAGAUCAUGGAAACUCCUUGUUUCCAUUCUCAUCUGGAGAGCUAACAUUCUGAGCAACGUGAUUGUUAACCAACCAGUCUUGAGAAUAUCCGUCCUGUGGCUGCUUUGUAACCAAGGUGAAACCCCCUUGACCUCCUGUCUUUCAAUUGUGUCUUGUAGCCAGUCAAUCGACUCACGUAAGCAAUAAUGACAACGAUUGUGCUUUACUUGUCGCGCCUUUGAUUGACCUUCGUCACUGUGAACCAACAAGAAAAACUGUAAUUUUAUUCUCCCCCUUCAGCACUCUGAUUACUCCUGAUUUGCCUUCUUCCCCUGAGAUUCCGGAACGUCAGCCUGAGACUUUGCGAUCUCCCACUGCCACGUGUCCGCUGCAAUAAAUCUCUUUCGAUUUCACCUUAAGGGAGCUGGAAAGUCAUUUCUCUCCAACAUUUUGGCGUAGUUAAUCGGCAGGGUUUUUGAAGUUACCCUUCCCCCGGAGACCCGAAGACCUGAAACACGGGACUCUGGCACCCAGGGCCCCUUUGUGUGCCCCUCCCUGCAGCUUUUUCGGACCCUUCUGGCUGUCUGGGGGGAGAAGGGAGCAGAGAGACUGGAGGACUUCAUUACCACCAAGCAGAAGAGCCAGGAGCAUUUGCUUUGAACCAGGGGCCCCUGCACUGAGAAGCUGCUAGAUCUGGGGAAGACUGAUGACAAGGACCUUCUCCCAGAGCCAACAGAGAGAGAAAGACUUUCCUAGGAGCUGACGCCCUGAAUUCAGACUUCUAGUCUCCUAGACUGUGAGAGAAUAAAUUACUCUUUGUAAAAGCCA